UACGGAGGAUGCAAGCGUUAUCCGGAAUGAUUGGGCGUAAAGCGUCCGCAGGUGGCUAUGUAAGUCUGCUGUUAAAGAGUGAGGCUCAACCUCAUAAAAGCAGUGGAAACUACAUGGCUAGAGUGCGUUGGGGGCAGAGGGAAUUCCUGGUGUAGCGGUGAAAUGCGUAGAGAUUGGGAAGAACAUCAGUGGCGAAAGCGCUCUACUGGACCUUAUCUGACAUUGAGGGACGAAAGCUAGGGGAGCGAAUGGG
rnacentral:rRNA from 1 species